CACAAUUGGUAACUCAUAGGUAUGACUUGAUUUUAGGGACUCCAGGCAUCUGUGAAGGAGAUGCUGGAGGGUAAACCUUUUUAGUAGUGAGCAACUAGCAGUAUCUGGUCAGUCUUGUUUAUACACCAGACAUGCACAUUUUCAUACCCUUUCCCCAGAUAAUUUCAAUGUCUCAUGAAUGAAUAACAGCUGAGUUUUGAGGUUUACAAAGCUCUUUCUAUUAUUAUCUCAUUUGAUCCUUACAACUUUCUCAAUGAGGCAGAUAAUGUAGAUAGUAUCAUCAUUCUGAUUGUAACUGGAACUGGGGUUCAAAAAGAAGUUUAGUGACCCACUUAUCCAUUUAAAGUUUACAACGCUUUACAAAUGUGAGGUGGCUACUAAGUAAUUUUCAUUUUGUAACUAAUACUAAUACUAAGAUUCAGUUUGACUUGCCCAAUGUCACAGCUAGUGUUAAGGGAUGAGGUUCAAAACCAGAUCUUCUUGACUAGCAUUUGACUGAUUAUUCCACAUGGCUGCCCUCCAGCUGAUUUGCCUGAUUUGGGCACUGGCCCUGUUUGCACACGCAUGGGUACAUUUUUUUCAUGCUCAGUAUCUUAUGAAUUAACAUAACCUCCAGCAGCAGGACUGCCCUUGCCCUUGCCCACCCUCACCACCCAUACAUAUUCCCUUUCUCUCUAAAGCCCCAGUAACAACCAGUGAAUAAAAAGACCAGGAGAACCAGGAUGCCGAAGCGCAAACUCCAGAUGGGAAGGGGGGCCUAGAAGUAAGUUUGUUUGCUCUCCUGUCCCAGGCUUCUCUCUCCAACUCAGACACAGACUUUGUAUUCCUCCUUUAGCCUUCACCCCCAUCUUCAUCCUCCACCCUCCUUAUCUGAGACACCAGCCUAGCGCUACCUCAAGCCACCCACCCAUCUCUAUGGCAACCAGAACCUCCAAGGCCCCCACACUGCCUUGAUAAGACCCGCCCACAUGGGCCUCCCGGGUUUCUUCCCCCUCAUCCUCUCACACCAGACUUCUCACUGUAAGAUGUAUAUGGGGGGGGGGGGGGGCCGGGGCGGUGUCAAUGUAUUGUCAUUGAGUGAACAGGCCCAAAUCAGGGGCUCUGAGAUGACUAAAGGCAGAAGGCUAACUGGAACACAAAUUUUAGAAUUUUAGAGAUAGAAGGAACUUUAGAAGGAGGUGUAGUUGAAAGAAUGGAGAUCUUAGAGGAGGUGGGUAGAAGGAAUGGGGGUCUUAGAGGAGGUGGGUAGAAGGAAUGGGGGUCUUAGAGGAGGUGGGUAGAAGGAAUGGGGGUCUUAGAGGAGGUGGGUAGAAGGAAUGGAGGUUUUAGAGGAGGUGGGUAGAAGGAAUGGGGGUCUUAGAGGAGGUGGGUAGAAGGAAUGGAGGUUUUAGAGGAGGUGGGUAGAAGGAAUGGGGGUCUGGAGAUGGGUAGAAGGAAUGGAGGUCUUAGAGGAGGUGGGUAGAAGGAAUGGAGGUUUUAGAGGAGGUGGGUAGAAGGAAUGGGGGUCUUAGAGGAGGUGGGUAGAAGGAAUGGGGGUCUGGAGAUGGGUAGAAGGAAUGGAGGUCUUAGAGGUGGGAGACCCCACUCUCAGGUUUCAACACUUAACUAGCCGUAUGACCUUGUUCCAGUAACUUCCUAUUCCCUAAGAGAAAGUAAGUCCCCUGAAGGAGAAGACUCCCUCUUUUGUGUUUGUAAGUCCAGCCUCAAACAAUAGGCACUUAACCCGCUUAUUGGAUGAUUGAUAACUUCCCAGUUUGUCAAUAGAUUGAUGAUAAUGAUACCCAUACUAUAUGACUUUCUCCCCUCACAGCUUUUGUGAGGAAUGUGCAACAUCAUGUAUUACAUAUAUAUAUGAACACUUUAGUUAUUAUUGUCAUCUAGUUCAACUUUCCUUCAACUGCAGAGUGCCAUUGAUGGUGUUCCCCAGCCUUCUCCCUGAGGGAGGGGGUAGCAUGCUGGAGCAGGAUAUCCGGGGAGAAUUUGGGGCAGACAUACACACAUAGGUACAAGGCGCCCUCCAAGCCCCUUGUAGUGUCAGCAGGGUGGGGCUAGGCGUGGAGUCGGCUCGUGCCGGUGGUGAAAAAAUUGGGAAUUGGAGAACACGAGCAUGAGUGUCGCGGUUGGGAGUGGCUCUGCUUGGAGCUAUUCCUGUCCAGUGUCCACUGUCUUAGAGCCCUGUCUCUUUCUCCUCUUCCUCUUCUCUCCCCCCUCUUUGCUUUUCCUUCCUUUUCUUUCACCAUCUUUUUUCCAUUUUCCCUUUCACCCUCUUCCAUUCUUUCCCCCCCCUUCCUCAAGUUAUUGGCAACAGUUGGAUGCCUGGAAAAAAGACGGAAUCCAGCUAGGUCACAGGUUUCCAAAAUGGCGCCCGGGCGGGUGGGGGCGGGCCCAUCGUGUGGCCCUGGGGUGGCAGCUGACCAAUGCCCUCGCUGUAUUCUCUUGCCUGUCACCAGAAAUGCCCCCGACGCAGAGCUAAGCCCCGGCUUUCAUCCAGAGUGUGUUGUUUUUCCCGUUUUGAGGAAAGCACCCCAGCUGUUUCCUCUUACCUCAUUCUUUUCCUCUCUUUUCCAUCCCGACCCUGUGCACCCCCAUCUGCUGGGUCUGGGCCGUUCGGGCCUGACCCCCCGGGCCCAACAGGCCAUUUUCGCUGUAGUCCAUGGGAAGAGAGGAGUGGCCAGGGACACGAGCGUUUCCAGGCCCAGAUGCCUGGACCUUCACCCAGCCACCACGGCUCUGGGGAUUUAGUAACUAGCUCUCCAGCAGGAUGGGCGGGAGGAGGGAGGGAAAUGCAGGAAGCAGCCAGGGUCUGCGUGCCCUCUGAAUGCGCGCCCUUUCCACUUGAGUGUGGCCACAGUCAAAGUGAGGGGUCCUCCCGGCCCGUGGCUGAAGGGCCUGCUCUUCCCAAGAGUGCUCCCGCCUCUUCUCUCCAUCCCUGGGCCCGCGUCCUCCCUCCCGCCCCUAUUUAUAGCCGCACAGUGGCUGGUAACAGUGUCACUCGCCCAAGCUGGGCUGAUUGCUGCUGUGGGAGAGGGAGGGGCCCGGGACUAGAUGGGGAUGAUCCCCCCAUGCCCUAAAUCCAGCUGCCUGGGGCUCCUCUGGGACAGAGCCAGGAAGAAGGGAUUUUGAACUGUCCUGGUCCUGGUUUUUAUAUAACACACACACACACACACACACACACACACACACGCACUGGUCCAAGGGACACCCACUCAGACACAAACACACACAUGCUACACCCACGCUGGAGUGUGUUACACACACGAAGUGAGCAUGGCCGACAUGUUGGUGCUUUCCCUCUGAGUCAUGUCCCAUCCGCCCGGGGCUCUUACUCGCUCAGGGAUGGAGGGCUGUCCGCCCCCAGCCCAAAGUGGACUUUGGGAGGCCCCUCGCUUUCUCCCGGGGCCCUUGUGCUUGUGGACGGCUGCCUGGGAGGCUAUGGUUGUUUCAUGUACCUCAAUGCGAGACUCAGGCGCUGUUGCAUAACACACCACACAGGGGUACAAAGUGAUGCACAGCUACAUCACACGCACAGCACUCUCCCACGCACCCCACGGACACACUCUUCAGCCGCCUCCCACGCCCCCCGGCACCCACCCACCCAGUCAUCCAUUCCAUGUGCUCACUUUUGCUCUCUCCCUCUCUUACUCUCCCUUUCUCCCCCCUUUCUCUCACUCUUUCUCUCUCUGUCUCUGUCUGUCUCUCUCCUCUCUCUCUGUCUCUAUCUCUGUCUCUGUCUCUGUCUCUUUG